rnacentral:rRNA from 1 species
AUGAACGCUAGCUACAGGCUUAACACAUGCAAGUCGAGGGGCAGCAUUUUAGUUUGCUUGCAAACUAAAGAUGGCGACCGGCGCACGGGUGAGUAACACGUAUCCAACCUGCCGAUAACUCGGGGAUAGCCUUUCGAAAGAAAGAUUAAUAUCCGAUGGUAUAUUAAAACCGCAUGGUUUUACUAUUAAAGAAUUUCGGUUAUCGAUGGGGAUGCGUUCCAUUAGUUUGUUGGCGGGGUAACGGCCCACCAAGACUACGAUGGAUAGGGGUUCUGAGAGGAAGGUCCCCCACAUUGGAACUGAGACACGGUCCAAACUCCUACGGGAGGCAGCAGUGAGGAAUAUUGGUCAAUGGACGAGAGUCUGAACCAGCCAAGUAGCGUGAAGGAUGACUGCCCUAUGGGUUGUAAACUUCUUUUAUAUGGGAAUAAAGUAUUCCACGUGUGGGAUUUUGUAUGUACCAUAUGAAUAAGGAUCGGCUAACUCCGUGCCAGCAGCCGCGGUAAUACGGAGGAUCCGAGCGUUAUCCGGAUUUAUUGGGUUUAAAGGGAGCGUAGGUGGAUUGUUAAGUCAGUUGUGAAAGUUUGCGGCUCAACCGUAAAAUUGCAGUUGAAACUGGCAGUCUUGAGUACAGUAGAGGUGGGCGGAAUUCGUGGUGUAGCGGUGAAAUGCUUAGAUAUCACGAAGAACUCCGAUUGCGAAGGCAGCUCACUAGACUGCAACUGACACUGAUGCUCGAAAGUGUGGGUAUCAAACAGGAUUAGAUACCCUGGUAGUCCACACAGUAAACGAUGAAUACUCGCUGUUUGCGAUAUACAGUAAGCGGCCAAGCGAAAGCAUUAAGUAUUCCACCUGGGGAGUACGCCGGCAACGGUGAAACUCAAAGGAAUUGACGGGGGCCCGCACAAGCGGUGGAGUAUGUGGUUUAAUUCGAAGCAACGCGAAGAACCUUACCAGGUCUUGACAUCGAUCUAAAGGCUCCAGAGAUGGAGAGAUAGCUAUAGAGAAGACAGGUGGUGCAUGGUUGUCGUCAGCUCGUGUCGUGAGAUGUUGGGUUAAGUCCCGCAACGAGCGCAACCCCUGUCCUUAGUUGCCAGCAUGUAGAGAUGGGAACUCUAAGGAGACUGCCGUAGAUAAUACGGAGGAAGGUGGGGAUGACGUCAAAUCAGCACGGCCCUUACGUCCGGGGCUACACACGUGUUACAAUGGGGGGGUACAGAAGGCAGCUACCUGGUGACAGGAUGCUAAUCCCAAAAACCUCUCUCAGUUCGGAUCGAAGUCUGCAACCCGACUUCGUGAAGCUGGAUUCGCUAGUAAUCGCGCAUCAGCCAUGGCGCGGUGAAUACGUUCCCGGGCCUUGUACACACCGCCCGUCAAGCCAUGAAAGCCGGGGGUACCUGAAGUACGUAACCGCAAGGAGCGUCCUAGGGUAAAACUGGUAAUUGGGGCU